rnacentral:lncRNA from 1 species
CACUAGCGUUGGACUUCUGCACUUCAGGGUGAGGGCUGCAGUGGAGUCUUUUGCAGCAAGGAUUAGCCCAAAUACGUGUGCAGUUUCAUCUUUGGGAUGAUGGAGGUUCAGCUGGUCUUACAAGAAGGUCAACAUGGUUGCUUUGGAGUGGCAAUCUGGAAGGCUCUAGAAGCAGAAGUGGAGCUGACCUGAGAGAGAUCUCAGACAAAGGUCACUGUUUCAGACCAUGUGAAGUUCAACUGCAAAAUCCAUCUGCAAAACCCACAGCAGAAUGCAUUUGUAUUAGUGUAAAGCACGUUUACAUUUAGUAACAUCAUUCAUUAUCUCCUCAAGAGUUCCUGCUAGAAUCCAGACUCUAAACGAAGCCCUCAUCUGGCCCUGUCAUAGGCCAUAAUGCCAUCUUUUAUCACAGUAAUUUUCAAUACAACAUUAUUUUUAAUGCAGGAAUUUGGAAAUUCAUAUUGUGCUUGAAUAACUAUUAAAAGAUAACACCCAGGAAAUGUAAAAGCGAUCAGAGCACUCAGAUGCUGUAGGAUAUGUGUCCCCAUGCAGCUCUCCAAUGGGAAGUGUAUCCUCACUUCCUGGCUUUUGCAGCAAUCAAUAGCCGAGUGGCUGCUUAGCAGGCUGAAGCACUUCUAUUAAGAUAAGCAAAAGGGCAGCAGUGGCAGCUAACCUGCAUGGAAAUGUGCAAGAUGAAAAUUUUGCAUGCUUUCUAGGUGUUUACAGGACCAGUUGUUACCUGAUACACUUCUCAAAUUAAGAAAUGCCUUUCUCAGUUGGAAAUACCUCAGAGAAGGCUGGUAAUAAAUUAACAUUUUAUUCCUAAAGCA